AAUGGGUGUUACUAGUUGGCUUAAUUGAUUUCGAGCUUGGAUUUAGAGUUAAGUAGUUAAAUUGAAAGUGGUGGUGUAUAUGUUUAUAUAUGCAGAGUAAGUGGUACUUUGUUUUGAUAUAAUUAUGUGUAUUUAUGUGGUUCAAGUUAUUUUGAUAUCUAAGCUAUUGAUCUUAUAAUGAUAUACAUAUACGUGCUUAAUUGAUAUUUGAAUUGGUUGUGGUCUGGUGAUUGUACUUGGUACGUUUAAUUAGUACUAUAAUUAGAUGAGUUGGGUACUAAAUCUUUGGGUUGAGUUAUGUACUUGUGUUUGGUCGGGUAUUUCAAUAGUUUAAGUAGUGGAUUAAAGAUUUAGAAAUUAUUCAUACUUGAGUUGAAAGUUUUGGCUAUCGCUGGUCUGUUUUGCAGCAUAAUUCUGGGUUAAUUGAGUUGAGUUAUGUGCUUAAUCUUUCUUUAAUAAUUUGCUACUUGAAGUCUAGAUCAAGCACCAAAAGGAAUUUCAAAGUUUCAUUCAACGAGCUAAAAGAUAUGCAUGUUUUACUGCGAAAUGCGCUGAAAAUUCUGGGCAGGUGUGUCCUAUUCCAGGCCCUGUUUUGCUACUUUAAACUCGAGCUCUGCUUCUCAAAUUUUUACUGGAGUUAGAUGUUAGUUUCUGGAAUAUGUCAUUAAAAUUUUAUACAAACAGACCAAUUUUUUUAUUUAUUAAAAUUCUUAGCGUGGGGCUGGUUCUGCAGGGCAGAUUCAGGUUCCUGACUUGCAGGCCCUGUUUUACUCCCUUAAACAUGGAAUUUGCUUCUGAAAAUUUUAUAGUAGAUUGUAAUAAUGCUUAAGAGUGUCUCAUAAAAAUUUUGUAUUAAAGCGAUAAAUUUUCAAUUUGUUAAAAAUCAUAGAGUGAGGGCUGUUUGAACUAUUUGUUCUAGUUUUCUUUCUUUGAUUAGUGCAUAGGAGGAGUUUAUACUUGGUUGGUCAGUGUCAAUCAUGUCUAAUAGUGAUAUAUGAUUUCAAAUCUAGCUACGUAAGUGUGCAUACUGUGAUAUUGUGUUUUAAUUGAUAUUGGUCCUGUACUUAUUGGUUUAUUGAGUUGGAUUGAGUUGCUUACUUGUUGAAUAAUAUAAGAAAACAUGUGGAUAGUCCGAUAAAUAGAGGAAGUGCUGUCUCAUUUUCGUUAGAAACUAUAUAUGUUUUAUUUGUUAAAGGAUAUUAAAUAAGAUAAGAAUAAGGUGACAUGGUUAACUGAAACAUGUUAUAUGAUAACUUAUCAAUAUUGACUUUUAAUAGCUAUAAAAGUUAAUUGUUCAACUAUGUGCUAUGUGUUUGUCUGACUAUGUGGUAUAUAUAUGCGAAGGGUAGAUAUAUGAUAGGUAUUAAUGCUUUUCGAGCUUAGUUAAUCUGUCUGAUCCGACGACUGAAAUACUAUUUUGCCAUCGUAUAGAAUUGAACGAGACGUUGAUCGAGGCAUUGAUCGAGAAGUAAUUGAAAUGGGUAUUCAAAAAUAGCUAAGUUGUGUUGCAAGUUGAAGUUGGGCAGAGAUUGUUAUAGAUAGAAUCUUGUCAGAAGCUGGCAGAAAGGAAUGAUAUGGCACUACAUAGUGUUAUUAGAAAUCUGAGCUAGACACCGGAGUUAAGAUAAUGUUAAAGAUGGUUCGCCUAUUUAGGCUAAGCAUAAGAGUAAGGCUAGGCGAGGAUUGCAAGUGACUAACUUUCAACCUGAUGGUCAGGAAGAGUAUCCAAGAUCGAGUCUUUGGGACUAGUGGUAAUUAGAGUUGUCUAAAUUUGAUUUAGUUGUAAAAACAUGUAAUAGAAUUUAUUAGUUUUAUUUUUCUGAUUUCAAUACUAUAGCCUGUUUGCGAUCC